rnacentral:lncRNA from 1 species
AAUAAUAGUAUGUCCUUCUACUGAUAAAACAACACUACCACCUUCAGAGUUGGUCGACCAAUAAAAAGUGAGGAAAGUUGUGAUGUGUGGCAAUUCGAUUGAGUAGGAAGAUUGUGAGUAAUUGAUUGGAAGCGUCUUAAUUAAGGUGGGUUAUAUUUUUUCAAAGUAUAUUUGAGUUAUUAAGCUCUAAUGUUAUUAUUUGAAAUGUGGUAUGUCCAUGAAAUGUUUUCACGUUCUCCCACUGUUUAAUGCUCUUAUGUUAACAAUUGUGGCUUUUAAUGGGUCUCACACACCUAUUAAAAGUUGUGCGCACGGUCUUAAGGUAGUGGAUUGAUCCCCACGAGCCUUAUAGACGAAAGGAGGAUUUUGGGUUCGCCCUUAAUCCGGCUAGAUGGUGUAGCUGACAUGGGUUCGUCCCGGGGUCCCAUCUAGUUAAUGAUGAAUGAAUGAAUGAUUACUUCCCAGGGGUCGCCCAGGGACUACGAAUGAAAUGAUAAGGGUAACAGUGGUGCUACGGUAUGGCGCGCGCAAAUGAAUGAAAAUGUUUUGUGAUUAUAGAAGUUAAAUGUUUUAUUUUAAAACCUUCUAUAAUUCACGUAUGUGCAUGGACUAUCAUAUGAAAAUGAUUAUUUCAAAAAUGCACGACCCACUGGGUACACUAGUACUCAGCCCACAAAUCUUUUCAAUCUUUUCAGGUUAGUAAGAUGGUGGAGACGGAAGCAGCUGUGGCGGGUUGGCUGCAAUAUGUUGAAAUAGCUAGCUAUUAUAUUUAAAAAAUAUGUCAUAUAUUUUGAGU